rnacentral:rRNA from 1 species
AUGGCUUACUAUUCAGAUCAUCAUGCUUAUGCGAGCAACACUACAAACAGCACGGAAAGUGUUCAAGAACUGAUAGGUAAGAUUUCCCAUCGAUUAGAUGAUUUAGCUCGGCAGCGAGAAGGAGUUUUUGAGGAUAGGCCUAGUUCUUACGAUCCUUAUUCCAGUGGCCAUCCUUAUGUUGCUCCUACUUGCCAUAUUUGUGGAUUUCAGGGCCAUUCACCCGCUGAAUGUCAGUGUGGCUACUCUCACACUCCGGAUUGUUUUGGCAUGAGCUUCGCUCAAGAGCAUAGCUCAUACCAAAACAAUUACUCACAUGGGUGGCCUGAAAUCCCGAAUAUGUCAUAUAGGAGCAACAACCCUGAGAUCUCACAGUUUGGUUCUAGUAAUCAUAUGCAGGGAUUUAGGUACAAUGAGGAGAGCCACAACUAUGCACCACAACAAUUCCAUUCAGCUCCUACUCAUAUACCACAGCACCAGGAGAUGUGUCCAAUGGAGUUAAAUGGUCCUCCAUUUGGUCAACCAACAACUCCAGCACCUGUUGUGCAAUCUCAUGUGCAAGUGCCCACACAAGAUGAGUUCGAUGACAUAGACAAGCUCACACUUUUGAGUCUCGAGUUCACUUGGAGUGCCGAGGAUGAUCCUAUUAGGAAGGUGAUACUUGAGGAAAUGAAGAAGAUUAAGAGUGGAAAAGAGCUAGUGGAAGAAGUAAGGAAGAUUGAGAAGAACAUCAACGCUGGCAGCACUAUUUCUUCACAGCUAGAGCUGAGUGUUGCUGAGAUAUCCAUUGAUACAUGUGAGGUACCAACACCUUCACAUUCAGCUGAGCAAGAUAGCGAGAGUCCAGAGGAAGAGAUACUUCAGAUCCAAGAAGAAAUUCUCGAAGCCAAGGCACAAGAUGAUCUAGAGCUCGAACAACAAAGUGAUCAAGUUGAAGACUCAUCAUCUACUACUCCUGAAGAAGUACAAGAAGCUGUUGUAGAUGAAGAUGAAGAACAUGAGAUUCAUUUGCCUAUUGUCAUACCAGAGCGUGAUGUGUCAGGUUUACUCAAUCCUCUUGAUGACAUUAUGCCUUGUGAUUUCUUUGCUACUACCUUGCAUUACAUGAUACCAUCACUUAAGAUUGAUUUGAAAACUCAUUUGCUUGGAUAUGAUGAUAUAUACCCUGUUAGUGGCAUUACUCUCAUUUGUGAUGACCAUAGUUACUUUCCUCGCGCUAAUCCUAUGCUUAAUGAAACAUAUCACUCCCAUGCUAGUCUUGAGCUUAAUGAUAAAUAUCAUCCUCAUGUUAGUGUUGACCUUGCUGAUUUCUACCAUCCUAAACAUGUGCUUUAUAGCUAUGCUUAUGUAAUUGGAUACUCUAUCGAUGACUAA